UCACCUCUGUGAGGCCUGCCCAGACUCCUUUGGUGCUGAGUUGCUUCCUCCUCGGUGCUCCCACAGCCCCCUGUCUAUGUCCCUACGUGCCGGAUUGUGAUUGCCAGCCUGGACCGCCUCCUGGGCCAGGACGGGCUGGGACUCCGCCUGUACUCCCAGGCCCUGUGCUGCCCAGCACUGUGCCAGAGGGAGCCAGCAGGACUGGGCAAUGAGUCAUGCAGCUCCGUGUCCUCCCAGAGUGAGCCGCAGUCUCGCUCUCUUCCGGCUCAUGAAGGCGGCUCUUUCCCGAGAAGCUGACUCUUUUCUGCAGAACCCAGGACUACUCCGGGGAAACCCUGCUCCACUUCUAGCUGGAUUUUGCAAACUUUGGCCCGAAUCCGCAGGAGCCCUCUGGAUCUAAUGUGCUCAGCCCACCCGCUCCACCCCCACCUCCCCCCCGCUUCCCUUGAACGCCCGUGUCAGUGGCUGGGCUUGCCAACUUCCUUCCUGGAGCCUUCCUGCUCUCCUGCCACCUGCUUGCACCUGGCUAGCCUGAGUGGGGUCUGCAGAGCUCCAGGACUGGUUGCCCCCUGGGCGGGGGGGGUGGGGGGGGGCGGCGAGGAGAGGCUGGAGAGAGAAAGGUCCCAGGAAUUACCUAGGAUUUCGGUAGCUCCACCAGGCAGCUCAAACUGGGAAGGACACAGGAGCUAGGUCACCACUGUAGGAAGCGUGGGCAGGCUGCCCCCAAGCCUUAGCAGUGUGGCCGCAGAGGUUCAGUUCCACAAGCCCUCCUGGAAAUGGAGAAAGGGCCAGAUCCCCCCCAUGUUUUGAGGCUCCUAAUAUAUUUUAAAAAGACUUGUCGGACUUCCCUGGCAGUCUAGAGGUUAAGACUCUGUGCUUCCACUGCAGGGGGCGUGGUUUCAAUCCCUGGUCAGGGAACUAAGGUCCCACAUGUCACAUGGCAUGGCCAAAAAAAAAAAAAAAGACUUGUCACACUAGGAGCUAUAAAAAUUGAAGUAUGUUUUAAAAUUCAGUUGAACAAAUGAACUGUUUCAUCAUGUAUUCAAAUGCAGUGCAGUACAUUUGGACUAUUGACAAGAUAAUUGGAGGGUUUGUUUUAAAAAUAUAUUACUUCCUCGGAGAAACGGCUGAUUCUAGGGCUGGGACAGGGAAAAAUGUGAGCUUGGAGUGUCUCGUGGUGCCAGAGUUAGGAAGUGCCCCAAACUCAAAAGGGUAGGAGUGUGUCAAAGCGACUCGGGAGCCAAAAGCUCCCAGUGGCCAAAGCGGCAACAAUUAGAGCAAUAAAAUGGAUAAUGGAGUAUUAGAUAGUAGCCCAAAGUAUAAAAUCCAUAUCCCUGAGUUGGUACUGGUAGAAAUAAAUUGUUGAAUAAAUAACUAGCUGGGUGGGGCCGGGGUAGAGACAAAUCUUACAAAUAACACAUGUAGGUUCUCCCUUCUCCAGGCUAAUUAUCCUCUCCUCUUCCUUUGAAUGUGCCCCGGGCUUAGUGACUUGCUUCUAAAUAACAGAGUAGGGAAAGAGAACAAUAGGAAGUGUAUGGUGGAGACACCUGGCAGACACCACCUUGACCGAGUGAUCAAGGUUACCACCACCCCAUGACAAGUCAAGUGGCAUCAUGUGCCCCCAACACUAUGUGAUGAGGAAGGCACCUCAUCCCUGUGGUAUUCUUCCCCAAACCCGUAACCCCAGAGAAAAGCCUCAGACAAACUCCCAUGGAAGGACAUUCUACAAAAUACUUGAUCAGGACUCCUCAAAACUGAAAGGGUCACGAAAAGCACGGAAAGACAGAAGCAGACCAGAGGACACGAAGAGACACGCUGGGUGGAUGCAGUAUAGUUGCUGGUUGGAUCCUGGAACAGAGAGAGCAUUAAUGGAAAAGCUGGUAAAAUCCAAAUAAGGUCUGGAUUUUAGUUCAUAGAGAUGUACCGGUUUUUUUUUUUUUUUGCUUUGACAAACGUACCACAGUGGUAUGAGAUGAUCACAUUAGGGGAAACUGAAACUAGGUGAGGGGUAUGCGGGAACUCUCUGUACUAUCUUUAUAACUCUUUUGUAAAUUGAAAAUUAAUUCCAAAAUUAAAAAGUUUAUUAAAAAAUAUGUAUAUAAUUUCAUGGGCCUUGUAGGUAAGAAGGUCAGAUGGCUUUGUUCAUUCCUAUUGGUAUAUAUCUAUAUAUCCUAUAUAUCUAUGUAUCUCUAUCUAUAGCUAUAUAUAUCCUUUUGGUCUGUGAGGUCCUGGGCAGAUGGCCCCCCCUCUUACCCCAGUUCAGCCACCCCUGCUCCCUGUUCUUUGCUGACCCUUGAAUGCUCACAUUCUGGACUGUUAGAGCUGGAAAGCCCCAUAGAGACGGAUUAUCCCAGAACCUUUAUUUAAAAAAAAAAUUUUUUUUUUUUUUGCGGUACGCGGGCCUCUCACUGUUGUGGCCUCUCCCGUUGCGGAGCACAGGCUCCGGACGGGCAGGCUCAGCGGCAAUGGCUCACGGGCCCAGCCGCUCCGCGGCAUGUGGGAUCUUCCCGGACCGGGGCACGAACCCGUGUCCCCUGCAUCGGCAGGCGGACUCUCAACCACUGCGCCACCAGGGAAGCCCACCAGAACCUUUAUUUUAUAGAUGGAGAGGCAGAGCAGGAAAGGGACUUGCCUCUGGCCACAUGGCAAGUUAAUAUUGGAAAAGCUGAGAAUGGGACUAGCCAGGCUUUCUCCAUCCCAGGCAUCCCUGGUCCCAUUUGCCAGAGACAGGGAGAUCAGACCCACACAGGUGCUCAGAAAUACUGGUGACUUACUUGAGGACCUGAUAAGGGCAACGCCUUACUCAAAGGAGCAGUAGAAUCUCCGGUGUCUGUUAGAGAGAGCAGUGGCAGGGGACCCCUUUGGCCUCACUGUGUGCUUGCUUAACCAGUGAAUCCCACCUGGUUUUGAAGAUUUAGGAAGAGGCGGGGUCUGAAGACAGGCAAAAGGGUGAGUUGGCUUUUGUCCCCCUACCCCCACUCCCACUCCUCCCCAGCCCCAAAGCCACUGCACUGAAGGGGCCAGAGAGAAUCCUGCAAGGCCCUGAUGGUGUGUAGAACCUUGGGUCCCCAGUCCUGGGGUUGAACACUUCCCAAUCUGUACUGGGGGUGCACAAGUUUGGUGAGAUCCUUGAAGCUACCAGAGAUAGCUUCCCUCGGGCCAGGAGAGUGCAGGCUGGGCUGAAGUGGUCCUGCUGCUGGUCGUGCUGGGGUGGACAUUCAUGCCCUCUGGCCCGAGAUGGGGAGGGGCCUGCCGCUGUCCUGCUGCUGCCCGCCUCACUGUGUUUCCACACUGAACUGUAAUGGUGUGGGGUACCACUCCCUCCCCACCUCACUGUGACUCCUUGAAGACGGGUCGCUGGGACAUGACCUGGCACAGAUAUUGGUAAAUCUGUGGUGAGUCAGUGAACGAGACAGCCGGGGUUCCAGGUAUGUUUUGCUGUGGACAUGUCUAUUGCUUCCUCUUUGCCAAAUCCAGCUCACAGAUGUCCUCUUGUAUCUGAAAAGGGCAGGCGUAGGCCUGGGAACUGCGGAGUCUGAGGUUCACCUGGGCCUCCAGCUGAGCCAUGUCUGAAAGGUUGGGUGGGAGUAGAGAACUAGAAGCUUCAUGGGUGAACUUGCAUCUGGGCCAAGUCUAACCACAGCUGGGCUGACGUCGACUCACGUGGUCAGUGUGGCCAUCCACAGAUGAGGUUGUCAUUGAGACCAGUUCACAAGAUCCUGGAGGUCACUAAUGUGCAGCUCACAUGCUGGCCAGAAGUUCUGAUGGGCUGUUUGAGAUAUCACUGGUUGAUAAACACACCACAGGAAACUUGCUGGUGUCUCUCCAGCACCCUUUGUCCAAUUCCCCCUUCCUAAUAGUGCUGGGAAUUUCCCAGCCAUGUGAUCUGGUCAGAAAUGACCCCAUUACAGCAGUGGGGGGCUAACUGGCUUAAGCUAAUCAAUACAUCUUAUCCUUCAAGUUUGGUAAUUGGUCAGGAAAAGGUAAUGAGUCUCAACUCUGUGUCUUUUCUUUAUGUUGACCGGGCAGCAAUAUCUCUGUUUCUUGCCAAUCACAAGGGAGAAAAGCAAGGAGUCCCAAGAGUUUCUGGAAGCCACCUUGUGACACUUCAGAGGAGGCAGAGCCAAGAGACUAGAAGGACAUUGGUCCUCGGUAACAGCUGCUGGAUCGAGCCUUGCCUGAAGCUAUUCCUAGUUCUAGACUCUGCCUAUAGACAGAGAAAGAAUGGCAAUAAUCCUCUUCAUUUUGCAAACAGCGAGGCAGAAGCCCAGAAAGGCUUACAGGUUUGCCAAGAUCACACCGAAAGGCAGUGGUAGAGCUGGUCCCGGAGGCCAAAUAUCCUGAACGUCAUUUCAGGUUCAGCUGCCUCCACCUCUCCUCUUGCGCUAGCCACCUCUGCCUCCUUUCGAGUAGGAAUAAAAUGAAGGGUAUGGUGGGGUCCCUUCUUCUGGCCUUGCUUCUCAGCUGCUAAGUGAUUAAAGAGGACUUUGAGUUGUACAGGCCAAGGAGAUGAUUGUAGGCCCUGGCAGAUGGUCCUCCCGCCACCAACCUUAGGAAAACCAAGGCUGUAAGGCUCAGAGAAAACUCAGGAUAUUUCUGUUGCCAGUGCCCCCACAAGGGAGGUCAACCUGGAGAGAUGGGAGGCUAUAUGCAUGAGAUUCUGGCCUCCCAAUCUAUGUGACCCCACCUCUGACACCUACCCUCUCCUCCCCAGAAGCCUUCCACGACCCCCAACAUUUUCAGUAGGCACGGGAUUGAUAUGCCCGGUUGCACAGGCAGUGCACUGCACAAUUUGGAUUAUGAUCUCAAUGGCGCCCCCUGGAGUUGUAGAGUUCGCAGCUUGCACAAACAUACAGGAUGAGCCCAGGUUGUAUUUCUCAACACGUUUGAACACUCCAAUUGUUUUCACAGAGAUCAAUGACCUCACAAACCCUUUUUCGAAUAAAUAAGAUAAUUUCUUUUUUUUGCAAGGUAAGAAGAUAUUUUGAGAAAAUUUAUUUUAUUUUAGAUCAGUCUGAUUCCAAAGGUUGUAUUAGAAAGUGUAUAUUUUGUACGAUUUGUUAUUUUAAAGGCUACUUUUGACCCUUUCCUAUUUAAUAAGUGAUGCCAACUGUUUAACAGAAUUUAAAUUAAUUUUAUGAGGAAAAUUAAGAUUUAUAGACCAAUGAAUUGAAAAUAUCUUGUUAGGCUUGAUUUGGAGACUGAACGUAUGCUGAAAUUGUCAUUAUAGAUUGAAAUUUAACUACAUGCUAUGAUUAAAAAAUAGAUUUGCUUUCAAUACAUGGGAGUUUAGAAUUUUGGCAUCUUGUGCUUCAUUUUUGUGAUUUAUUUGGUUAUUUUCAAAACACAUUUUGUGCUUUGUUUCUAAACGAAGAGGUAAGAGAGAAGGUAUCUCCUCAAAUAACCCAUUUCAGGUAUGAAUAGCUGUUAUUUCCAAAAGAUGAAAAGCUAUAAUGGCUAUAUUUUUUCUCCAGUUGGUUUUUGAAGUACUAGAGGCAUCUUGAUGUUAUACACAGAUUUUUUUUUUUUUUUGAACAGGUGUUACAUAAACAAGUAAAAGGUUCAAAAGGUACAGGUGUAUUUUGAGUAGAACCAAAACCUCCUUUCCAUGGUCCUUAAAGUGUUUCUGUUCUCCAGGAACAACUGAAGUUAGCAAUUUCUUGUGUAUGUUUCCAGAUAGAAUCUAUGCAGCUACAAGCAAAUAUUUGCUUACAUACAUUCUGCUUUGUUUCUCUUUAUUUUUAUACAAACGAGGCGCUCUCUACAACCAGCUACACCUUGCUUUUUCACUUCCUAAUAGACCUUUGAGAUAAUUCCAUUAUUUAGGCAGUUUGUUACUGACAAGACAUUUAGGUUGUUUCUGACCUUUAGCUAUUACAGACAACACUGCAAGUAGACCCCCAUCUGCUUACCACUUUGCAACUGCACAAAUACAUAGUAGGAUGACUUCAUCUUGCUGGGUCAAAGAGUGUCUUAGUUUGCUAGGGCUGCUGUAACAACGUACUACAGACUGAAUGGUUGAGCAACAGAAAUUUAUUAUGUCACGGUUCUGGAGGCUGGAAGUCUGAGAUCAGGUGGGGCCGGGUUGGCUCCUUCUGAGAGCUGUCAGGGAGGAUCUGUUCCAGGUCUCUUCCGUGGCUCCUGGUGGUUUGCUGGCACUUUUGGUGUCCCUUGGCUUGUAGCUACAUCACCUCAUCUCAGCCUUGAUGUUCACAUGGCGUUCUCCUUGUCUGUGUGUGUCUAUGAUGUUCACAUGGCGUUCUCCUUGUGUCUGUGUGUCUAUGAUGUUCACAUGGUGUUCUCCUUGUGCGUGUGUGUCUAUGAUGUUCACAUGGCGUUCUCCUUGUGUGUGUGUGUCUAUGAUGUUCACAUGGCGUUCUCCUUGUGUGUGUGUGUCUGUGUCCACAUUUCUCCUUUUUAUAAGGAUAACAGUCAUGUUGGAUGAGGACCCCUCUCCACUCCAGUGUGACCUCAUCUUAACUAAUUCCAUCCGUAAUGUCCUGAUUUCCAAAUAGGGUCACAUUCUGAGGUACUGGGGAUUAGGACUUCAACGUGUGAAUUUGGUGGGGGGACACAAUUCGACCCAUAACAAAGGGUAUGUGAGUGCUGACCUUUAGAAGAAUAUGCUAAAUUGCUCUUCGUAGAAAUUGUACCAUUACCUUCCCACCAGUAAUGAUGAAAACGGCCCAUGUCACCAUAUCCUUGCCCCACCAUGGUCACCAGACGUUUUGAUCUUUGUCAACCUAGUGGAUGCAAAAUGGUAUCUCAUUGUAUUUCACUUACUGCAAGUGAGGAUGAAGUUUCUUUCUUCUUACAUUUGAGACCAAUUUGCAUUUUGGGGGCUGAUAGUUGUUUAUGUCCUUUGCCUAUUUUUCUAUUGAAUUAUUGGUCUUUUUUUUUUUUUUUUUUUUUUUUUUGCGGUACGCAGGCCUCUCACUGUUGUGGCCUCUCCCGUUGCGGAGCACAGGUUCCGGUCGCGCAGCCUCAGCCGCCAUGGCUCACGGACCCAGCCGCUCCGCGGCAUGUAGGAUCUUCCCGGAUCGGGGCACGAACCCGUUUCCCCUGUAUCGGCAGGCGGACUCUCAACCACUGUGCCACCAGGGAAGCCCCGAAUUAUUGGUCUUUUAUCCUUACUCAUUCAUAGGAGCUUUUUAAAGAUAAGGGAAAUUAGCUCUUUGUGACAGAUUUCAAAUAUUUUCCUUUCCUAUUCAGCUGUCAUUUGACUUUGUAUGUGUGUUUCUUUUUUCUUAACUCAGGAAAAAUUUUCAAUUUUAUGUAGAGAAACAGGUCAUUUUCUUAUAUGGUUUGGGGUUUUUCUGUGAUAUGUAAGAAGGCCUCCAUUCUUAAGAUUAUGACACAAAUAUGCCCAUUUUUUUUCUGACACAUUUAUGGUUUCUUUUUUUUCGGUAUGCGGGCCUCUCAUUGUUGUGGCCUCUCCCGUUGUGGAGCACAGACUCCGGACGCGCAGGCUCAGCGGCCGUGGCUCAUGGGCCCAGCCGCUCCGUGGCAUGUGGGAUCUUCCCGGACCGGGGCACGAACCCGCGUCCCCUGCAUCGGCAGGCGGACUCUCAACCACUGUGCCACCAGGGAAGCCCGAGGUUUCUUUUUUUUUUUAUGUAUAGUUUAAAAAAAAAAUCUGUUGGAAGGAGUUCCCUGGUGGCCUAGUGGUUAGGAUUCCAGCUUUCACUGCCAUGGCCUGGGUUUAGUCCCUCGGUCGGGGAAGUGAGAUCCUGUAAGCUGAGUGGCACAGCCAAAAAAAACAAAUAAAAUAAAAUAGGUUGGAAUUAAUUUUGGCACAGGUAUAAGGUAGGGACCCAAUUUAGUUAUCCUGGUGGAUUCUUGGCGGUCCCAACAGUAUUUAUCAAAUAACGUGUGAAAAUUAUGAUCAGAUGUAAGCAGUGUGUAGAUAGGAGGAAUUUACAGAAAUAUGUUCAUUAACUUUUUUCCCAAUUAACUUGUAUUUCAGCAUCAAAUUUUGUUUUUAAAGAUUUUUGUCUUUAACCAGCGAUCUAUGAUGGGUAUAGACUAAAAAUUUGUUAUUAUACUAAAAAUAAUUUUAAAUUGUUUCAUAGGCAAAGCUACGCCAGGGGCUGGCAGUGUUCAGCUAAGUGAUAAAAGGGCUGAGUAACUGCGUUUGACAAGCACUCAGUCAAUCAAGCAAUGCCCUUUAAACAAUUAAUACAAUGUAUUUUUUGGGGGGGCAGCGCUGCACUGCAUGUGGGAUCUUAGUACCUGGACCAGGGAUCCAGCCUGUGCCCCCGGCAGUGGAAGUUCAGAGUCCUAACCACUGGACUGCCAGAGAAGUCCCAAUACAAAGUAUUUCUUAACUGAUUAAAAUACAGAAAUUGAAACAUAACCCAGUACUGCAUUUAAAGACAUGAAUCCCCUGGGAAAACUCCUCAAGUCCUUGUUGGUUCAUCUGAGGGGGUUAAGAGUUUGAAUCCCAACUUCACCACCUCCUGACCCUGCAACCUUGGGUAACUUGCUUGACAUCUCUGUGCUGCAUUUUUCUUCAUCUAUAAAAUGGGGAAAGCAAUAAGAGAAGGUUCUGUAGGGCCUGAAGUUUCUGCAGUUUGUUGGGGGGGGGAUCUUAAAAAUUACAAAUGUGAAGUGAAGCACUAUCCCUGUAGGAUCUGGGGAGAGCCUCUCACUUGCAAGAUUAAACCUCAUUAGCUUUACCACAGACGAAGCUCUGAAAAUAGCGUCUUUUUCAAGGGCUGUUGGGAAUACGGAGUGAGGCCAUGUGGCUGAAUCAUCUGGCUCUGGUGUGUGGUGGGCCUGACUCCCAGACUACUAAUCAGGUGUGUAAGAAACAUCACUUUCUUUAUGUAUAGAAACCUACCUGAAGUUCUGACGCCAAACCCCCAAUUCCACAGAGCUGGCAAACACCUUCACUUCAGUCAUUCUUGAAGUUUUUAAUCCACUUUGCUCUGAAGGCAUGGCGGGGGGCAGAGGUCUGCUUUUCUGUGAUCAUCAUCUGUCUUUGAUCAUCUGUACCCACACAGACACCUAUACAGACACACAGACACACACACGUCAUAAUUGAAGCAUCUGGUAUUCCUUUCUGAAUUCCCCUUCAACUCGCAGCUCUGUACUGUUUCUGAUCCAUGCGUGGCACUUGGGGAUCUUUGAGGGGUGCCCCAGGAGUGCUGUUUAGCAACUUGUAAGAAGACUGCUGUUGGGGGCCCAACGGCUCUAUUCCAGAUCAUAUCUGAGGGAGGCAAUGAGCCGCUGUGGCUAAAAGUAUCGGAUUGGGUGCCAGACAGAACUGGAUUCUAAUCCUGCAAAGCCUUGUUUUCCUCAUCUGCAGAAUGGGGAGGAUAAUGCCUCUCUCAUAGAACUGGUGUGACUGACAUCGAGGUAUUUGCAAAGGGCUUGGUGUAGUGUCUGACAGGUAGUACACAAGCUCUAGUACUAGAGCUCAUCUCUUCACCUUUCAUUAUUAGACGGGGAAACUGAGUCCUAGAGACACUGGCUGGCUGGGUGAGGUUACCACACAACAUUAUGUAAAUACCUGGGGAAAAGGUGCAGAAAGCAUGCUUAUUCAAUUUGCAGAUGACCUAAAACUAGGUAUAGUGGCUGGUAUUUUAAAUGCAAACCAGGGUUCGAAAGCACCUAAAGCAGACGAAAUGAUAGACUAAACCCCCUGGAGUAAAAUGGAAUGGGGAUGGAUGUAAAAUGAAAAGAUUUUUCGUGAAAAAGGUUUUGGCUGAAGGUUCAAUAUAAUCCCAUGUUAAGAUGGCUGCCCCCAAACGAAUGUGAUCUCAGGCUGCAUAUUUGGCGGUAUAUAUUGAGGAUGAGGGAGGUGAUAGCUGGAAGGUUGGGUUCAAUUCUGGUUGCCAUACCUUUGAGCGGACAGGGAGAGACCAGAGGCCAAUUUGUGGAGGGCAAAGGAUAGUGAGGAAUCGGGGAUCCUGACUUCAGAGAAGAGAGACUCAGGGGGCAGAGAUGGGAGCACCAGUAACCCUGCCUGCUCCAAGGGCAGAACGCGGAGAUGACAAGGCACUGAGAACUGACUCUGACAGAACUGUCCCACAAUGAAAAGGAUUGUGUUCAUAGCUAGUGAGCAUCCCAUCACUGGUGGUAUGCAAGAAGAAUUAGGAAAGGAUUCCUGCUUUGAGCUCUCAGUUUCAGCAAAAAUACUAGACCUUACUGAUAAAACAUCCUUGUUGGCUAUAUAUACACAUAUUUAGUCAACAAAUCUGUAGUCCAUAUUUCCUCUAUUUUAAGAUGUACUUUUAAGAAAUGAAUAUUACUGGGAUUGUCUUACAAUCAGUGUGUACACUUAGUGAAUAAUGCAUCCUUCUUUCUGAAAAGUUGUUAUUCAAGCAUUUUUGAAUCAGCAAAAUGAAGUGUACAAUUUGGGAAGUUGUUCUGACAAUCUGUAUUUCAUCUUACAUUUGCCCUAUUAGAAUGUAUGUCUUGAACUAAAAGAAAUCUAUCUAAAUAAAUGAUGUAUAUUAAAAAAAAA